rnacentral:lncRNA from 1 species
UGGAGUACUUAAAAGCCAUGCCAAAUCCUUCUGCCGGUACUUAAAGUGGCUAACAUCGCCUCUGAACGCGAUGCAUGAAAAAUACCAUGUCCCUCCUAGUAAUACAGACUACUUUGUCCCUCCUAGUAAUACAAACUACUCCCUGCUAAAAAAUCAUCACGGCUGCAACUCUAAAUAGGCAAAAUCCAAUUCAAAAGAAUUGAAAAACAAUUUGCCUGAUAGACAAAUUGUUUGCAUAUAGAAUGGCAAAGUUAAACCAAAAACUAAAGAGAGAAAGUAGAAAGAGAUUAAUGUUGUAUAUAUAUUACACACCAAAGGUCAUUUCAAUUAUUUUUCACACAGUUAUAAAAGUUGUGCUGAGUUGCAGGCUUGCAACUACUACCAUAAAUAAUCGACACAUAACUUGCAAAAGAUUAAAGAACCAAACUCAUAACUCCGGUUACACUUGUAUUUAUAAUCUGAACAUGGUUAUAGCUCUAUUCUUAUUGAUACUGUCUCUUUGUUUGAUCCAUUGCAAGCUACACGUAGAUGUCAUCUUCAGUCACCUGAAAUUAAAAGGUACAAUGAAUACCAAUUGUUGUAUU